UUAACCCAAUUAAGAACCUAAUUUAAUCAGAUUAAAUUAAAUUUAAAUCUGAUUUAAUCUUCUAAUCAAAUUAGAAAUUAGAUUGACCCAAGUCCUAGUUGAACUAGGACUAGUUUUUUCCUUGCACUUGGCUUAUCCAAUAAACCAAUUGGACUUGAUCCAAUCAAGCCCAAAUCAAAUCUAAUUAAAUCAUAUUUAAUUAGACUU
rnacentral:lncRNA from 1 species